rnacentral:rRNA from 1 species
UACGUAGGGGGCAAGCGUUGUCCGGAAUCAUUGGGCGUAAAGAGCGUGUAGGCGGUCCGGUAAGUCUGGUGUGAAAUCUUGGGGCUCAACCCCGGGACUGCGUCCGAUACUUCCGAGCUGGAGGUAGGUAGGGGAGAUCGGAAUUCCUGGUGUAGCGGUGAAAUGCGCAGAUAUCAGGAGGAACACCGGUGGCGAAGGCGGAUCUCUGGGCCUUACCUGACGCUGAGGCGCGAAGGCCAGGGGAGCAAACGGG